rnacentral:rRNA from 1 species
UACGAAGAGGGCUAGCGUUGCUCGGAAUCACUGGGCGUAAAGGGUGCGUAGGCGGGUCUUUAAGUCAGGGGUGAAAUCCUGGAGCUCAACUCCAGAACUGCCUUUGAUACUGAAGAUCUUGAGUUCGGGAGAGGUGAGUGGAACUGCGAGUGUAGAGGUGAAAUUCGUAGAUAUUCGCAAGAACACCAGUGGCGAAGGCGGCUCACUGGCCCGAUACUGACGCUGAGGCACGAAAGCGUGGGGAAGCAAACAGGG